rnacentral:misc_RNA from 1 species
UACGAGGGGUGCAAGCGUUAUUCGGAAUUAUUGGGCGUAAAGGGUGUGUAGGCGGCACAUCAAGUCUGUUGUUAAAUCUCCCAGCCUAACUGGGAAUAUGCGACAGAUACUGAUGAGCUUUGAGGGUGGAAGAGAGGAGUAGAAUUCUCGGAGUAGCGGUAAAAUGCGUAGAUAUCGAGAGGAAUACCAAUGGCGAAGGCAGCUCCUUGGCCCAACUCUGACGCUGAUACACGAAAGCGUGGGUAGCAAACAGG